UACGUAGGGGCAAGCGUUGUCCGGAAUCAUUGGGCGUAAAGAGCGUGUAGGCGGCUCGGUAAGUCCGCUGUGAAAGUCCAGGCUCAACCCUGGAAUGCCGGUGGAAACUGUCGAGCUAGAGUCCGGAAGAGGCGAGUGGAAUUCCUGGUGUAGCGGUGAAAUGCGCAGAUAUCAGGAGGAACACCAAUGGCGAAGCGGUUCUCUGGACGGUACUGACGCUGAGACGCGAAGCGUGGGAGCGAACAGG
rnacentral:rRNA from 1 species